GACAGAGGCCUCGAGCGUUAGGCGGAAUCACUGGGCUUAAAGCGUGUGUAGGCGGAUCGUUAAGUGCCUUGUGAAAUCCCACGGCUUAACUGUGGAACGGCUGGGCAUACUGGCGGUCUUGAGCCAUCUAGGGGCGACUGGAACAAACGGUGGAGCGGUGAAAUGCGUAGAUAAUCGUUUGGAACGCCAAUGGUGAAAACAGGUCGCUGGGGAUGUGCUG
rnacentral:rRNA from 1 species